AAGACUAUACUUUCAGGGAUCAUUUCUAUAGUUUUUGACUUGAGAAAUGUGUUUCUAAACUGUUUGGUCUCGCUAACUACGAUGAUGAGCUGUUAUAUUCUCUCCUGAGCGUGAAGCGGACACUGGAUAGUGAUUCAGUUCAUAUGUCCUGUGUCUUUGAUGACCGUUCUUUGUCUCCUUGUGGGACAUAGAGGGUGAGAAUAUGAUCAGAGUGGU